AGCUAUGCAGUGACCAUAAAACGAACUAUUCUUUCACCUUUUAAUAAAGAAUACCGUGUGCUCGCUGCAGAAAAUGACAGCUUUUUCUUGGAAAGGGCCCUAAAAUUGUAGUU